rnacentral:rRNA from 1 species
UGAGGAAUAUUGGUCAAUGGACGAGAGUCUGAACCAGCCAAGUAGCGUGCAGGAUGACGGCCCUAUGGGUUGUAAACUGCUUUUGUUUGGGAAUAAUCGACAUUACGUGUAAUGUUUUGCAUGUACCAUUCGAAUAAGGACCGGCUAAUUCCGUGCCAGCAGCCGCGGUAAUACGGAAGGUCCAGGCGUUAUCCGGAUUUAUUGGGUUUAAAGGGAGUGUAGGCGGUUGGUUAAGCGUGUUGUGAAAUGUAGAUGCUCAACAUCUGACUUGCAGCGCGAACUGGCUGACUUGAGUACACACAACGUAGGCGGAAUUCAUGGUGUAGCGGUGAAAUGCUUAGAUAUCAUGAAGAACUCCGAUUGCGAAGGCAGCUGACGGGAGCGCAACUGACGCUUAAGCUCGAAGGUGCGGGUAUCAAACAGG